rnacentral:rRNA from 1 species
GAGUUUGAUCAUGGCUCAGGACGAACGCUGGCGGCGUGCUUAACACAUGCAAGUCGAGCGUGAAGCCCGGGAGGGGUAACCCACCCGGGUGGAAAGCGGCGAACGGGUGAGUAACACGUGAGGAACCUACCCCGGACACCGGGAUAACAGCGGGAAACCGCUGCUAAUACCGGGUACUCCACCGAGAUCACCUGAUCACGGUGGGAAAGCUCCGGCGGUCCGGGAUGGCCUCGCGGCCUAUCAGCUUGUUGGUGGGGUAACGGCCCACCAAGGCUACGACGGGUAGCUGGCGUGAGAGCGCGACCAGCCACACUGGGACUGAGACACGGCCCAGACUCCUACGGGAGGCAGCAGUGGGGAAUCUUGCGCAAUGGGCGAAAGCCUGACGCAGCGACGCCGCGUGAGGGAUGAAGGCCUUCGGGUUGUAAACCUCUUUCAGCAGGGACGAAGCGAAAGUGACGGUACCUGCAGAAGAAGCCCCGGCCAACUACGUGCCAGCAGCCGCGGUAAUACAAGGG